CAGCUUUGGGGUAACCCUCUCCGGAGAUUUCCCUAGACCUGGGAGACACCCCCUCCAGGCUCCAGGGGCUUCCCAGUCACAACUUGCACCUCCAUGCUGUUUUGGACAGCUGCUCCUUGGAGCUAGGUCCCUUCUCUCUCUCUCUCCUGAGUCCCCAGAUCUACCAUGAGCCAAGAACGUACACAACAGAAACCAAACAGUGCUGAACCAAAGAAUGAAUACUGAGGCCAGGGAGGGACCAGUCCCGUGCAUGGGCCAGACAGCGGAGCCCGCAGAUGGAAACGGAAACUCCUAAGUCGUGAUGGCUGAAGCCACCUUUUCCGUCUGCCAGCGACCGCCGAGAACAGAGGGAAGUGCAGGCACUUCUCCCCAAGUCCUGAUGCAUCAGGGAAAGUGUGAAUGUCAGUGCCCAGAUCUGUCCUGAUCAAUCCUCCUUGCGCCCAGGAAAAAAGGAUUCUUUUGGGGUUGGGCUGCCACCUGCUGGUGCACACAGAAACUGCAACUGCGCCACCAAGCAGAAGCCCUACCCCAGAGAGCACAUAAGAUAACAAAUGUUAACUUUUAUUUUGUCCUUGCACAGGGCUCCUGCCAAAUUAUUUUGAGAGACGAGAAUGCAAAGCAGGCUUCCAUUUAACCCAGGCUAGCUUCCAACCCGACACUAUCCUUAAAGUCUAAGUGCUGAGAUUAUAGGCAUGUGCCACCAUGGCCCAGCACUCCUGUCAAGUCAUCCAAACUGGUCAACCCAUUCCACUUUCUCCGAAUGAGGUAACAUCUCAUGAUACAUGCUAACUGGUAGUGCCACAACCUUGAUCGUAUUGCUGACCGUUAAGUGACUUGCACAGCCUCUCUUCCCGGACACUAGCACCUGAGCUGAAGUUGGGGAUCUCCCAGUCUGACCCGCUUACCAUGCUGACGUAAGUGCUGACAUCCAGGAUGUAUCUGGCGUGAUGCUUAGUUAAGCCCGCAAAAAUGCUGAGCUCUCUGGUGGUUGGCCGCCACACCUUUAAUCCCAGCACUAGAGAGGAUUAUAAGGCAGGAGCUAAGA